rnacentral:rRNA from 1 species
CACGUAGGCACCAAGCGUUGUCCGGAUUUAUUGGGCGUAAAGAGCUCGUAGGCGGUUCAGUAAGUCGGGUGUGAAAACUUUGGGCUUAACCCAAAGCGUGCAUCCGAUACUGCUGUGACUUGAGUUCGGUAGGGGAGUGGGGAAUUCCUAGUGUAGCGGUGAAAUGCGCAGAUAUUAGGAGGAACACCGGUGGCGAAGGCGCCACUCUGGGCCGAAACUGACGCUGAGGAGCGAAAGCAUGGGUAGCGAACAGG